rfam:Triticum aestivum genome assembly, contig: Triticum_aestivum_CS42_TGACv1_scaffold_592721_7BS
UAACUACUCCCUCCGUCCGGAAAUACUUGUCAGAGAAAUGGAUCAAGAUGAAUGUAUCUAAAACUAAAAUAUGUUUAGAUACAUCCAUUUCUCCGACAAGUAUUUUCGGACGGAGGGAGUACCAU